CUCCCAUUGCAUCACAAUUCAACUCUGGCAUUCUCAUGAGAACCUCACAGGCUUUCACGUAACUAUAAUACUUAGAGCUCACAUUCACACAAAUACAGACAACUCUGCCCCAUCUCUACCCAUCUCCCUCUCUUGGAAGACUUCCCCAAACCUCCAACAUCACUCCCCUUGGGAAAGCAGCGGUCUCUCAAGAAGGAGGCUCCCAAGAUUCCUCACCUGUGUCCUAAAUAAAGGAUUUGGAAAACAGCCAGGAGACAAGGGCCUUGAGAGAAGGGAAUGGGAGACACAGCAUCGUCACUGAAGAAACCACCCAGGGCUGCUGCCCACAUUUCCACCCACAGAAGAAGAACCAUUUCCAUUGCCAAAAUACAGCUUUUGGAAAAUUCCGUAGGGGAAUAAGGGUAGCCUAUGAAGAGAAUAAAGAGUUUCAGAGAGAUGUGUUCA
rnacentral:lncRNA from 1 species